rnacentral:tRNA from 1 species
GGGAGUGGAUAGCGGCCUGGUGGCGCUCCUGGACUUCAAAUCCAGUGUGGGGCAUUAAUCCUGUCCCGGGUGAGUUCGAUUCUCACACACUCCCGCCA